AUUGAACGCUGGCGGCAGGCCUAACACAUGCAAGUCGAGCGGCUGAAGGGAACUUGCUCCUUCAUUCAGCGGCUGACUGGUGAGUAAUUCCUAGGAAUCUGUCUGUUAGUUUUGUAUAACGUCCUUAAACGGGCGCUCAUACCUCAUUCGUCCUUACUGAGAACGUGUGGGAUCUUCGGACCUCACGCUAUCACAUGAUCCUAGGUGGGAUUAGCUAGUUGGUGGGGUAAAGGCCUACCAAGGCGACGAUCCGUAACUGGUCUGAGAGGAUGAUCAGUCACACUGGAACUGAGACACGGUCCAGACUCCUACGGGAGGCAGCAGUGGGGAAUAUUGGACAAUGGGCGAAAGCCUGAUCCAGCCGUGCCGCGUGUGUGAAGAAGGUCUUCGGAUUGUAAAGCACUUUAAGUGGGGAGGAAGGGCAGUAAGUUAAUACCUUGCUGUUUUGACGGUACCAAAAGAAUAAGCACCGGCUAACUUCGUG
rnacentral:rRNA from 1 species